CUCUCUGAGUUAAUUUAGAAAAUUAACAAUCCAUCCUUCUAGUCUGCUCUGUUUCUUUUCCCUUCUGAGAGGUCAAUUGAAGGGUUCUGCCGCAGCAGCAGGGGCGAGGGGCCGGUGGCCCUGCCCAGAGGCAGCCCAGAGAGCCCUGGGAGGAGGCGUGGCUCCAGGUCUGCCUCCCUGCUGUGGGGAGGAAGCGAGCCCCGUAAAGGGCCAACGGAAGAUGAGGGGCAACAAGCCAGAAAACCGGCAUCUGGAACCCCUACCCUUCCAUCCCAGGACCAAAGGGUCUCCUGCUCUCACUCAGCUCCAGGCCCUUUUUCCUGUCACUUGUCUGCUGCAGAGUAAAGAGCAAAUGGAGCGUGAAAAAAAUUCAGCAAAAAUAAUUACAGGUUACGACAAAUCAAUGGGAACUGUGCAAAUAGCCUCAGGCAGGUAGCAGAGUCAGGGCUCCUCAGCUGGGUGGUGGACUCAGGUGAAGCCAGACUUCAAAGUCUAGCCUGAGGGGAAGCAAUUUAAUUUAGACUAAAUGUGGAUAAUCUGAUGAAUCAUUGAUUUGCUCAGUGGAUCAUUUCAUAGCUCAGAAACGGAGGAAGCAGGGAAGAAAUGCGCUGCUCUGGACUUAACUCUGACCAGCCCCAGGGAACACUUGUUGGCAAUCGAGGGACUGGGACCCUUGGAGAAAGUGACUGUCAGGCUGGAGUGGGCACCGCAGGCGAGGGCACGGCAGCACGGCGGGCAUUAGUGCCAAGCCUGAGGAAGGGGCAUUUGAAAGCUCUGCUUGGGGACACAGAGAGGGCAGAGCCAGCUGCAGGCAGAGCCUCGGGAAUGGUGGUGGUGGUGGUGGCACAGGGGGCCGCCCGAGGCUGGCGGAUAAUGGAGGCUCUGAAAGCGGAAACCUGAGUGGCAGUCACAGAUGAUUUUAGAGGGAAGCGCUGCCUCUUCCCCACCACCACACACACUCACACUCUGCUCUCCACGUCUGUCAGGCAUCGAGGCGGUUAAUUCUCCCAGACACACCGCUGAGAGCGCCGGAGCCCUGUGGAGCUGAGACCGGGAUGGUGCUGCCAGGCUCAUUACAGGAUCCCAGAGGGAGUCUAUCAGGACAGGGUCCCCUCUCUCCCUCAGCCUCUGCAGGAGGCUCGUGCCUCUCUGCCUCCACUCCGACCCACCCUGGCAGGCCCACCCCUCGCCCGGCCCCGAGCCCCUGGAUCCCAGCCCCCUUCUGACUCUGUGCCAGGUCUCCGGCCAUGCCCACCCUCCUCGGGCCCCCCUUCGGCUUCCCGAUCUGAGCAAGGGCCAGUGCUCUGUGCUCUCUGGCGAAGAGGGCGGGGGGGGGGGCGAGGUGGCAGAGAAGUGGAGCCUGGAGAAAUCCCAAGCCAACCACACUGCCUCCCGCCAGCAUUCGACCAAAACAGCUCACCGGGAAGCAGCGGCGGUGCUCCCCGCCCUCCCACGCUCCGAGGGUCUUCUGCCCACUCAGGUGCCGCGCCUGGACAGGGUGGGCGUUUCAGGGGCGAAGGAAUGCGCGGGUGUGUGAGGACUUACCGAGCACUUGCCCCUGGCCAGGCCUUGCUCUGGCCACUCGGAUCUGCUCGUGAGAUGGAGCCGUGGGAGUGCCCGCACCAGUCAAGCCUCCAGCCCAGGGCAGCAGGCAACAAACAUCAUACCCGUGCAGAGGAUGCGGCAUACCAGAGGGUGGCAAGCAUCACAGGGAGAAACAGAGCCGGUCAGUGGGGUGAGGGUGGCCGUUUUAAAUAGGCUGCUCAGGGCAGGCCUUGUUGAGAAGGUGACACUUAGGCAAAAGCUUGGAGAGGGGAAGGAGGAGCAUCAUAGGCACUGGAAACAGCUAGAGCAAAGGCCCCGAGGCAGGAGGGGGUUGGCCUGCUGGGGAAACACCAUGAAAUGUGGGCGAGCAGGAGGGGUGGACAGACCACACUGACCAUGCCCACAUGGCUGACCCUGAGCUCAGGCCUCAGGUCAGAUGUUGCCUGCCGUGAGGCCUUCCUCCAUCACGCCCGCUAUGCCUCCGCCUUGCUCUGCUCUCUCAGUCAACCCAACACCCGGCAGGUUGUGUUUGUGUGCAUGGUCUGCCUUCCUAAGAAAUGAUGCAGGGCCGUGAGGCAGGAACUUUACCCCUGUGCUCACUGCUCUUUCCCCAGGACGGGGCGCAAAGGAGGCGCUCCAUGGGGUGUGCCAACUCUCAGAGCUGGAAGGAGGAAUUCGGUUGUUUGUUAAGCAUUGUCCUCUUCAGUGGCUUGAAGUGACUGAUAGUCCUGAGAGAGCACCUAGCACGCCAUGCAGUUCACGCGACAACCUUCCUACGUGCGAGGAGACCAGCGCCGUGUGAUAGGGGCUGACGGAGAGGCGGGAGUGGGUGAGGCCCUCUGCCGCCGUUCUCUCUCCCCUCUCCACUGGGGUGGUCUCCACGUCCAGGGCCAAGGCUUUCCGGCUGCCCGGGGUCUCUCCCAUCUUAGAGGGAGGGAUUUGACAAACACAUCAGGGGACGCAUGUACCCUAAUGGGCUCGUGAUCUGGGCUCUCCUUGCAGCUGUGCUUUCUUCUCUCUCUUGCUGCUUCCCCACUCCGCCUGAUGUGGCUCCUGAGCCCUUCCUCACUCCCUGUCUCCGAGGCCAGCCCCUCCCUGCCACGUCCUGGCCCUGCAGAGGACUGCCAAGUAUAGGGUUUCUUGAUUUUAGCAGGAAUUGGACAAAGGCUCCCGUAACGGUCUUUGUGGACACUGUAGAGGACUAAGUCGGAUGACAGUAUAUACGGUGGAGACCUUGUUGGUUGAACAGCCAAAAAGAGUGUUGAUUAUUGUCAUCGUAAAGAUAUACAACAGGGCUUUUUCAUUGACUUUGACAGUUUCAGUAUUUUAGUCUGUGGCUUGGAUAAAGACUCAAUGGCACAAAACUUAGAGGAAAAGAUAAUACGAAAAUCAGCAAGAUCCAAUAGCUAAAGACUGGAGGAGGAGAAACAAGCCAGACUGCCUGCUGGAUGACUCCUCAGGCUCCUCGGGCAGCCCAGCAGAAGCAGGCUGGAGCCGUGCUGGUGCGCACGCUCCUCUCCUAACUGGCACUGGGGAGUACGAUAUGUCUUAUGCCAACAAGGCUGUAAAGCUCAGCCCCACUUUAUCAUUAAUAUGCAAGGCAGUGGGCACCGGAGCCCUCUCCGGGAUCACACGCGCACACACAGGAGAUGCCAAGCCAUGUCCAGCCGAAGCAUGACUCUCUGAGGGAUGGCAAGGGUCUGGGAGGGUGGUGUCCACCCUGCCAGCCAUGUGGCUGAGCCCCUCUACUUUGCAUCUACAUUGUAUGUCACUUGUAGAGCUUAUCCUCUCCCCUUGUUCCACAGAUGAGUUAAAACGAUAAGAUUA
ensembl:lncRNA